AGAGAAUGUAGUAGUUACCCAGGAGUGGAUGAAAAUAACGACCACAAUCUAAUCAGGAUGAAAUGUAAUCUAAAAUUAAAUGGGUAAAUAGAAAAUGGUGGAAUGGUAAAUUAAAAAUCUGAGAAAUUAAGAAUAAAAGAAAAAAUAUAGCAAAGGCACAAAUGACGUGACUAUUUAAUAAUCCCAAAAUAUUAAAAAAUAUUGCAGAACUUGAAAGAUACAAUUAUAAACAUUAAACAUGGCACCAAAAACUUUAUGUGAUAAAAACAUUACAGCAAGAAAGCACUGGAUAACAACUGAAAUCAUUUACAUGAUAGAGAAUAGAAAAGUACUAGUAAUAUGCCGGUUCUGGUGCAGUA